UGCAUCGAUGAAGAACGCAGCGAAAUGCGAUAAGUAAUGUGAAUUGCAGAAUUCAGUGAAUCAUCGAAUCUUUGAACGCACAUUGCGCCCCCUGGCAUUCCGGGGGGCAUGCCUGUUCGAGCGUCAUUACACCACUCAAGCCUGGCUUGGUAUUGAGCGCCGCGGCCUGCCCGCGCGCUCCAAUGUCUCCGGCUGAGCCGUCCGUCUCCAAGCGUUGUGAAUAGCGAUCGCUUGCGAGGCCCGGGCGGUUCGACGCCGUUAAACCCCCCAUUUUCUAUGGUUGACCUCGGAUCAGGUAGGGAUACCCGCUGAACUUAAGCAUAUCAAUAAGCGGAGGA
rnacentral:rRNA from 1 species